UCCAGACUCCUACGGGAGGCAGCAGUGGGGGAUAUUGCACAAUGGGGGGAACCCUGAUGCAGCGACGCCGCGUGGGUGAAGGAGCACCUCGGUGCGUAAAGCCCUAUCGGCAGGGAAGAAAAGCGAACAGGUUCGCCUGGACGGUACCUGACUAAGAAGCCCCGGCUAAAUACGUGCCAGCAGCCGCGGUAAUACGUAGGGGGCAAGCGUUAUCCGGAUUCACUGGGUGUAAAGGGAGCGUAGACGGCGACGCAAGUCUGGAGUGAAAGCCCGGGGCCCAACCCCGGGACUGCUCUGGAAACUGCGUCGCUGGAGUACGGGAGGGGCAGGCGGAAUUCCUGGUGUAGCGGUGAAAUGCGUAGAUAUCGAGAGGAACACUCGUGGCGAAGGCGGGUUCCUGGACAUUAACUGACGCUGAGGCACGAAGGCCAGGGGAGCGAAAGGGAUUAGAUACCCUAGUAAG
rnacentral:rRNA from 1 species